GUUGAAAGGGGAGUGUGUGUCGUGAAACCAUCAGGAAGAGCUGUUUAAAGUUGACUGAAAAAGAGAUUCAACCCUCGCCAACAACAAAAUGAUGAAUAAAGGUGAGGAGAAAGGAAUGAAGUCAGACGCAAAAAAAAUGGCCGAGGAGAAAGCUGGUGAUGGCUUAGAGGUGUGGAAACAGCAGCGGGAAAGAUAAAAUGGUGUAAAAAAAGACCACUUGGUCAAAAUAAUAAUUUUAAAGAUGGUUUCAACAAAAUG